rnacentral:rRNA from 1 species
GUUGCGGUUAAAAAGCUCGUAGUUGGAGUUCUGCCAGGUGCCGCCUGUCCGCCCCAGUGGUGAGUACGUGGCGCGCAUUUGGCCCUUUCAAGGGGAGCGUAUCUGCACUUUACAGUGUGGUGCGGGAUCCUUGACUUUUACUUUGAGGAAAUAGGAGUGUUCCAAGCAGGCUCUCGUCGUGCACAGCUCAGCAUGGAAUAAUAGCAUUGGACCUCGAUUCUAAGCUGUUGGUUGCCAGAAGCGAGGUAAUGAUGAAGAGGGAUAGUUGGGGGCAUUCGUAUUUAACUGUCAGAGGUGAAAUUCUUGGAUUUGUUAAAGACGGACUUCUGCGAAAGCAUCUGCCAUGGAUGUUUUUCAUUGAUCAAGAACGAAAGUUGGGGGAUCGAAGACGAUCAGAUUACCGUCCUAUUCUUAA